rnacentral:rRNA from 1 species
UUAUUGGGUCUAAAACAUCCGUAGCUUGCUUGAUAAGUUUCUUGUGAAAUCCUAUAUCUCAAGUAUGGGGCGUGCAAGAAAUACUGUCAGGCUAGAGACCGGUAGAUGUAAAGAGUAUGUCCGAGGUAGUGGUAAAAUACGUUAAUCUCGGGCAGACUAACAAUUAGCGAAGGCACUUUACAAGGACGGAUCUGACUGUGAGGGAUGAAGGCCAGGGGCGCAAAACGGAUUAGAUACCCGUGUAGUCCUGGCAGUAAACACUGCUCACUAAACAUUGGUCUCUCUUAGGGAGAAAUCAGUGCUGUAGCGAAGGCGAAGAGUGAGCUACCUGGGAAGUAUAGUCGCAAGAUCGAAACUUAAAGGAAUUGGCGGGGGAGCACA